AACGAACGCUGGCGGCAGGCUUAACACAUGCAAGUCGAGCGCGUAGCAAUACGAGCGGCAGACGGGUGAGUAACGCGUGGGAAUCUACCCAACCCUACGGAAUAACGCAUGGAAACGUGUGCUAAUACCGUAUACGCCCUUAGGGGGAAAGAUUUAUCGGGGAUGGAUGAGCCCGCGUUGGAUUAGCUAGUUGGUGGGGUAAAGCCUACCAAGGCGACGAUCCAUAGCUGGUCUGAGAGGAUGAUCAGCCACAUUGGGACUGAGACACGGCCCAAACUCCUACGGGAGGCAGCAGUGGGGAAUAUUGGACAAUGGGCGCAAGCCUGAUCCAGCCAUGCCGCGUGAGUGAUGAAGGCCCUAGGGUUGUAAAGCUCUUUCACCGGUGAAGAUAAUGACGGUAACCGGAGAAGAAGCCCCGGCUAACUUCGUGCCAGCAGCCGCGGUAAAGUCGUACGAU
rnacentral:rRNA from 1 species